CAAAGCCGGCCCCCUUUGCCGAGUGCCUCGCGCCUGGCACUCGGCAAAGACCCCUUGUUUGCCGAGUGCCUUUCCCCUAGCACUCGGCAAACAAGCUUUCCUCCACCUGGGAAAUGCCCCUUUGCCGAGUGUUAAGGCCAAAACACUCGGCAAAGGCCCCUCUUUGCCGAGUGUAACACUCGGCAAAGUGAUCAGAACCCCCCCUUUUCCGACGUUUUGCCACGUAUAACGGACCCCUCUCAAUUCACAAUACAGAUAUCACAGGCAUUUGUAAUAAACAACCACAUGGAUAAUUCACAACCACAGGCAUAAUUCAUAAACACCACAGGCAUAAUUCAACAUAAGCACGAAAUAAUCCAUAAAUCCAAGUUGUUGUCACAAUUUAGUUUCCACAUUGUUCACAACCAAGUCUACUUCCGUGGAGGCCAAGGAGACCACUGCGACAAAUCUUGAUCUCCAUUAUUCGAAGCCGCCGAUUGAUUCUGCGCAUAGGAUAGGACAUUCUGAGGUAACAUCUAAAGUUGUCAAAUUUAAAGUAUUAAAUCUUAAGCACAAUGUGUCAAGUGACUCACAGGAGUAGUCGUGGGUGGCUGAGGCGGAGCGAACAUCAUCGGCGGUGGCGGAGGCAAAGACUGUCCCAUGCUCGAAGCAAAGUUCUGCAUGUACUGGAACAUCUGCUCCAUCCUAAUCCGGUUUUCCUCCUCCAUCCUCCGCCGCAUUUCCUCCAUCUGCGCCUCCAUCUGCGCCUUAAUCUCCUCUUGUUUCUUCCUUGAUUCUUCCACCUGGGCCUACAAUAUUUCAUUGCAAUGUUAUAAUGCAAAGCUAAAGUAUAACAACAAACGAACGAUGAAUGGAAGAGAAAGAACCUGUAGAGCCUCCAUCUGGAACUGUGCAGUGGUGGGUCGUGGCCGUACCACCGGGCUCGAGUCCGUGCUCCUAGCUCGGAUCUGGGAGAGAGUGGGAGUAGAGGCCGUGUCGAUGACGCCAUCGCCAAUCCAAUAUCGGCCAUGCUUCUUGCCUCCUCCCACCCUCAUCACGAUUUCUCCAUCAAUGUCCUCGGAGCUCGGAUCGAAGUCUGGCCCGUGAACCUCCCUAGCCAUCUUUGUAUACUCGCUGACGCGGCUGUGUAUGCUAGGGUGGCUGUACGCCUCGGACGGGUCGUCUGGGUUGAAAUCUAUAUCGGCCAUCGCCUUGCCCUUUUUGGAGAGGACCCAUGCCUUGAGCUGGGAGCAAGGUCGGCCAUCAUGUGACGCCGACUGCGGCAAAAUACAAAAUCAUUAAAAAUUACGUAGCAUUGAACGUUACAAUAAAGAAUUGAAGUUGCGUACCCAUUUUUCUCUAUAUUCAUCAAGGCUUAGGCUGCCUUGAUGGUGUGGUGCAGUCGGCAUCUGCAAACGCCGCUGCCGGCAAGCAAGGUGGUUCUCCAACCACCCGGGCUCCAACCACACGUCGACCAUCCUCUCCCAGCACGGCAUAUGCGCACGACACCACCACGGAGGCACCUACAUCAUCAAGCGUGUGACGUAUGAAAAAGAAAAUGAGCCUAAUUAAUCAUAAAUAGUAAGCAUCAACGUUCUUUACUUACCCUCAUGAAUUGGUCCUUAGUCAUGUUCAUUGUUCUUGCCUCCUCUUUUCUAACCUUCAUAUGUCUGUAUUGAGCGUGGAAUUCGAUGAUGGCCUAGAUGCGCGCCUCGUAAUGCAUGUCCCUCACGAGCUUCUUGGCGGCUACAUCACAGACGGCCUUCGCCUUGGCCUCGAACCCCUCCUGGCAUCUAUAGAAGUCCUGCAUAUACACGUGUAUACAGUUAUUAUUUCAAGAAUGUCAAAAGUAGGUGAUGUAUUGAGCAAUUUAGUACGAGAAGUACUUACCCACAGCUCGGCCUUGACCCGCUCCGCUAUGUUGGGGAAUCUUCUCUGUUGACGAUCAGGGACGUUGGGGGCGGCGACGUAGUGGUCCCACGUGUAGGCCGGCUGCUGCUGUCCGGCGUACACCACCAAGCCAGGGAAGUGAACCCUGCACAAAAGGCCAAGGAUCCCGUUGGCCUUACGGUUGUGGUCACCCCCACUGAGCUUAAUCCAACUCCUGCACAAGUCAUUAAUAUGAGUUAUUAGUUUUUGUAACUUUCAACAAAAGAACAAUAUUAAGAAUAUUUAAAGUUACUUACUUGGUCCCAACCGGUUUAAUCAGCGGGCGUAAAUGCUCAGGUAUCGGCCUCUUCGGGAGGGAUGAGGGACCUCGCAACCAUAUCUUGGACUGGGCAUCCCCUGCCUCCCCGUCCCCCUCCUGCUCCUGCUGCUGCUCCUCCUCCGCCUCCUCGUCCCCAGAGGCGUGUGCGGAAGGUACCUCCUCCUCCUCCUCCUCCUCCUCCUCCUCCACCUCAGGUUCAGGCGACGGGGGCCUCGCCGCUUUACCCUUCCCCCGAGGCCUCUGGACCACCUCCUCCUCCUCCUCCUCAACCCUACGUCGAGGUCUGCCUCGACGCCUCCCUCGACUGCUCCCUGAACGUGACCCUGACCCUGAACCAGUCCCUGCCGCGGCCAGUCUCUCGCAAAUCGACGUGAGCUUCCUCAUACCGCCCACCAUUGCUUAAUGACCUGCAAUUAAAAAGAGUACACGAGUCAGCAUAGGCAAACAAAACAUAAUUACAAAGAUAUGCAAAUUAUAAUUAAAUUAUAACUAAAUUAGUACGAAUCAUACAUGUAUUAGAAAUAAUCAUCAUGAUCGGGAUUAGCUGGAUCAUAAGUCUCAUCAUCACUAUCACGUGUGUCGAUAUAGUCAAGCUCGUGCUCCGAAGAAGGAAUGUCGUCAUCACUGUCAUUAGCUAACUGUAAUCGUUGAAGUAAUUCUAAGUCCUUCACAUUCUGAACCUCGUCUCCACCGUCCUCUGCAGCAACCCUCUCGUUGUCUACUUCCAUUCCGAUCGCUUCGGUUAAAUCUAUCACAAAACUCCCUUCGAGCCCAUCUUCUUGGAAUAACUCUCCUUCGUACGUGUCGGGGUCUAUAUUGUAAUCUUCAUUGUUUGGUACAUGUAGUUUACCGUGUGGCGAUACCUUGUACACAACAUCCCAACCCUUAAGACGGCUGUCGGUUUGGCACGGGUAUGACAAAUAAUAAACUUGCGUGGCCUGUUGAGCCACAAUAUAGACAUCGUCUCCUGGUAACCUGGAUGACUGUCGAAUUUCGACUAGCCCAAGGUUAGGGGCCCAUCUCACGACAGAUGGAUCAAACCAAUGGCAUUUGAAUAUAACUGGAUUAAGAGGUUUGCACCCAUAAAAAGUGAGUUCGUAUAUUUCUUCAAUUCUUCCGUAGUACUCGACCCCAUCGGAGCCUGGCGUGAAAACUCCAGUAUUUGUGGUUCUUCGAUUGGGCCGACUCUGCUCGUGCCUUGUUGUGUGAAACCUAUAUCCGUUGACGUCAUAACCGGCAAACGACCUGACCCUAUAGUCACAGCCAUCGGCAACCUGUCUCAACUCGACAUUCAUAGACGCAUCGGUUCGGCCCUGCAAGUUCAAACAGGGCGGUUCGUUAUAUUAAUCGUAUGCACGAGAACGAGAAUGUUCGAAGAAAUGAAAUUGUACCUUCUGUUUGAACCAAGAAAUGAAAUCGGGCAUUCCAUUUCCCGCACCCUCUUUAAGAAGAGUCUCAGCUUCGUGCGGGUACGGUUGCCUUGAUUUACGCCAAAAUUGACGAUGAAAUUUCCUAUACCAACGAGAAAGAUACGUUUAGGCAAGAGAUACCAUUACUACGUCGAAACAAGUUCGUCGAUGACUUACAUCAUGUACGGCUCCACUUCAGAUAGGUUGGUCAACACAUACAGCAUGAUAGAGCGCCACUCUUCAUGGUUAAGGGUCUUGCGGGUCGCACCACUUGCACUUCCGAGUUGCCCUCGGAAAAUGCUAAGGCUUAAUUCAUCUUCGCUGGCAUUGUAACGAGGAGGUGGAUUAUGCACGCUAGGAAGGUUGUCAGCGUAGUAUUUCGAUGUGAAGUUUGACACCUCCUCCAGAAUGUAUGCCUCUGCAAUGGAUGCUUCAAUUUUGUACUUAUUCUUACAUUUAGUUCGAAGAACCUUUUGACAUCUCUCAAUUGAGUAGCACCAACGACCCUGCACAGGCCCCCCCAUUCGUGCUUCAUACGGGAGGUAUAGAAUCAUAUGCUGCAUUGGAUUGAAGAAGCCUGGAGGAAAGAUCUUCUCCAACUUACAGAGCAACACAGGCGCCAUUGUUUCCAUUUCUGCAACCACGGUACGAGAUAACUCCUUCGCACAAAGCCGGCGGAAGAAAUUGCUAAACUCCGCUAGCACCUGCCACACAUGCUCAGGGACAUAGCCUCGAACCAUCACCGGAAGUAGGCGCUCAAGCCAUAUAUGGUAAUCAUGACUCUUGAGCCCGUUGAUUCUCAUAGUUGCUAAAUUCCACAAGCACGACUUGCCAGCUCUUGGAGGCGCCAUGUUUAGCUGUGGUUUGUUGCACAAUGUCGCUUGAUCCACUCUAGCCUUAACGUUAUCCUUUGUCUUGUUAGGAAUGUCCAUUAUUGUACCAAAAACUGCCUCGGCGAUAUUUUUUUCCGUGUGCAUUACAUCAAUGUUAUGUGGAACAAGGAGAUCAUCAAACUAGGGAAGUUUCCACAAGCACGACUUCUGCGUCCAAGCAUGUUGCUCGCCAUAUCCCAAAAAACCACCUUCCUCAUUAUUAACCUCAAGAGCGUCUAACUGAGCACGAAUUGCGGCCCCUUUCAUCAUCGGCGGUGCGGGGGCUGUAACUACAACAUCUUUGGUAAAGUUCUUGAUGUCUCGUCUAAAUGGAUGGUCAGGAGGGAGGAAUUGUCGAUGUUUGUCGAACGAAGAAUAUUUGCCACCUUUCGACAACCAAAUGAACUUCAAAGAUGCUUUACAUACUGGGCAUGGGAACUUCCCGUGAACACACCAUCCGGAGAAAAUCCCAUAUGCCGGCAAGUCAUGCAGUGAGUACUGGUACCAAACAUGCAUCUUGAAGUUUGUCUUUGUGGAUCGGUCAUAGGUCCAUACCCCUUCCUCCCAAGCACGGAGCAAAUCAUCAAUCAGAGGCUCCAUAUACACACUCAUAUUAUUCCCCGGAUGCUCUGGAAUUAUCAAUGACAAGAAUAUAUUAUGUCGUUGAAAUAGGACGCCGGGUGGGAGAUUCAGGGGGAUAGCGAAAAUGGGCCAACAGGUGUACGGGGCGGCUACCAUUCCAUAAGGAUUGAACCCAUCAGUUGCCAACGCAACGCGUACGUUACGGGCCUCUAGAGCUUUUGCAGGAUAAAUCGCAUCAAAGCUUCUCCAGGCUUCAGCAUCGGAUGGGUGUACCAGCUUCUCAGGAUUAUAGCGAUGGCCAUUUUUGUGCCAUGUCAUCUGUUUCGCGGAUUCUUCAGUCAUGAAAAGCCGUUGGAUCCUCGGUACGAAAGGAAGAUACCGUAGAACCUUCACAGGAAUUGUGAGCUGCUUUUUCUGACCGUCACCAUAGUCAACCUCCAGAAAUCUAGACGAUUCACACUUCACACAGUAUUUUGCUUCCGCAUACUCUUUCCUAAAUAAGAUGCAUCCCUUCGGGCAAGCAUGUAUAUGCUCGUAUGGCAUCUUAAGUGCACGAAGGAGUUUCUGUGCCUCAUACAUGCUCUUUGGCAAGAUGUGACCAACCGGGAGCAGGCUUCCAAAAACUGUCAACAUAAUAUCAAACGCGUCUCGACUCAAACUAAACUGAGACUUCACAGCCAUUAGCCGUGCAAUGGCAUCUAGCUGAGAAACCUUGGUAUGGCUGUGAAGGGGUUGCUGUGCCGCAGACAACAUUUCGUAAUAAGCCUUAGCGGUAGCCUCUGGCUCCUCCUCCCUACGUGCCUCUUCGAGGUGUGCUUCAUGAUAGUCAUUUAACAUGUCUCCCACCCCGGCAUCAUCAUCAAAUUCCUCGAUGCGUUGUCUCAAGACCUCCUCUCUCCCACGGUCAGAUUCACCAUGGUAGAUCCACCUGGUGUAGUCUGACGUAAAUCCGUUCUUCACCAGAUGUUUGCCCAUGUCUAGCUUGGUUUGCCGACGCAUGUUUCCACAUUUGCUGCACGGACACCAAGUCGAUCGAGCUCCAUUGACACUUGCAAACGCCGGUUCCAAGAAAGCAUCCGUCUUGUCAAG
rnacentral:lncRNA from 1 species